AAUUUCUGUUACACCAGCUCAACAGAAAUAGAAGAGACAGAAAACCGUAGAAAACAUAUAAAAAAGAAACGUUUUAACUCAUAUAGCAGUGAUGAAGAUCUUAAUAAUGACUCUAAAAAAGAAAAAGAAAAACUGAAUACCCAUUUAAGUAAAAAGAAAACACAAAACAAAAAAGUAACAAUUGAUUCAAAUUAUAGUGAUGAAAGUGACUCAAUAUUCAACACCAAAUUUAAAAAUGUAGAUACAGUUCCACAACCAACAGAUUCAUUUGAUUUAUUCAAUUGUGAUGAAUCUGCUAAUGAGUUGGAAUUUUUAUUAAAUUCAUCAACUCAAAUCACUGUCUUACCAAAUGUGGAAAAAUUAGUUGAAGAUAAUCAGUCAUUAGUAGAAGAUUAUAGUCAGCCAUUAACUAUCUGUGGUAAUAAUCUAUAUUAUUAUCAUUAAUCAAUUAAAUAUGUUCAACAACUGUAUUUUUAAUUACUUACUAUUUAUAGA